CAAUGAUUCAUUGGCCGGUUUGAAAAAAAUUUCCCCCAAAUCCCACAACACAGAAUUCUCGAAAAUCCCUCCUUAAACACUAUUGUACCUCAUUUCAUCUUUCUUUCUCUUUCUCCCGUAUCCUUUCUUCUCCUCUAUCUUUUACCCCCUUAAACCCUACUUUCACUGGUUUGUCUCCAAUAUUUUCUUUUGUUCAACCCUAAAAUAUGGAGAUUCAAUGAAGCCAAUCUCCCCAUUCUUUUCCCUAAAAUUAAAUAAGAGAUAAAAACCUAUUAUCUCAAACCCUAAAAUCAAAGAUUCGGAUAGUUUCCUCUUACUUCCCGAAAAUCUCUCAAAGGAAGAAUCAAAGACUGAAUCAAAGGAAAACAAAUCCUCAAUUGCGAUUCUCAUGCUAUCACCACACCGCUCUCGCAAAAUCUGUUGUUCUAAGGAAACAAAGAUGUGAUUUUUGGAAAAACUAUCUUUUGCUCAAGGUUAUGUGGAUUUCAUUUUUGAACUAUCACCGUCUCACACUCUCCGAAUCCGUAGUUACAAGAUAUACUGUCAUAUAGGUUCAAAGAGCUAUACAUCCCCAUCUAGAAUAAUGAAAGGAGUUGGAGAAGAGGUUAUUUUACACUGUAUGGCCUUUGCAUCAAUCAUUCGGAAACUCAUUGUUAUGCAUUAUCAAUAUUCAAUCAGUAUGCGGUGGCGGCGAUAACCCCAAAGAAAUGGUUGUUGGCUGAAACAGAACUAUGUUUGUGACCUGUCAGGUUAGUUUUAAUAAUCACUCAAAAAAAAUACUGGACUAAAAGUUUGCUCAAGUUAUUGAAUCCAGAAAAAGGUGUAAAUUGAAUGUGUGCAGCAGCAUUUUAUUCUCUCAUCAUCGCCUUUCCCAUUUUUCAUAUCACUGUAACUAGCCCAUUUUUCACAUCAUUGUAGCUAGCCCAUUUUUCAUGGUAUUGUGACAUUAGUUUAAAUGUCUUCAAACUCAUGUAAUGGUAAUUAUAUUAGUAUUUGAAUUUAUGUAAGGGUGAAGAAAUAUUAUAAAAGAAUGGCAUCG